ACGAAUUUGCCUAUUUACUCACAAAUCUAUUGCGUGAGCCCAAAGUAUACUGGGUGUUAAUAAUGGAAGACUCAAACCUCCAGGCAGUAAUCAACGCUGCAGUUGCCACUUCUGUGGAGAAGGCCUCACCACCCAUGCUCGCGAGAUUGGACACCACCUUAAAUUAUGCACUUUUGACUACGGAAGGCACUGGACAAGGAGGUCUGCAAGCAACUGAGAUCAGAGUGCCCAGACCUUCACUCCGGAUAAGGUCGCCUAUACCCCAGAAUUUGACCAGAUGAUGCUGGCUUUCAUGGCACGGGGGGUAGAGACCCAAGGAAAGGGGUCGAUAAAGGAUUUAAGGGAGCCCAGGAUAAGCUCCUCGAUGCUGGCGGGCUGCUCGCCCAGGUUCUGACCCUAUCGGAUGAGGCAUACACCCAGACUGACUCCUUUCAGCAGACAAUGCUCACAACGGGGCGCACAAUAUUCAGGAGUGGACCCAGAGAUGUUUUGCUUCCUGG